AUUGAACGCUGGCGGCAUGCCUUACACAUGCAAGUCGAACGGCAGCGGGGGAGAAGCUUGCUUUUCCUGCCGGCGAGUGGCGAACGGGUGAGCAAUACAUCGGAACGUGCCCUGUAGUGGGGGAUAACUAGUCGAAAGAUUAGCUAAUACCGCAUACGACCUGAGGGUGAAAGUGGGGGACCGCAAGGCCUCAUGCUAUAGGAGCGGCCGAUGUCUGAUUAGCUAGUUGGUGGGGUAAAGGCCUACCAAGGCGACGAUCAGUAGCUGGUCUGAGAGGACGAUCAGGCACACGGGGAGAGAGACACGGACCAGACUCGUACGGGAGGCAGGAGUGGGGAAGUUUGGACAAUGGGCGAAAGCCUGAUCCAGCAAUGCCGCGUGUGUGAAGAAGGCCUUCGGGGUGUAAAGCACUUUUGUCCGGAAAGAAAAGGCUCUGGUUAAUACCUGGGGUCGAUGACGGUACCGGAAAAAUAAGGACCGGCUAACUACGUGCCAGCCGCCGCGGUAA
rnacentral:rRNA from 1 species